rnacentral:rRNA from 1 species
GGACGGGGGCCCGCACAAGCGGUGGAGUAUGUUCUUUAAUUCGACGCACGACGAAAACCUUACCACGCUUGACAUGCCCGGACGACUUUCAGAGAUGAUUGUCUUCCCGCAAGGGACUGGAACACAGGUGCUGCAUGGCUGUCGUCAGCUCGUGUCGUGAGAUGUUGGGUUAAGUCCCGCAACGAGCGCAACCCUUGCCAUUAGUUGCUACAUUCAGUUGGGCACUCUAAUGGGACCGCCGGUGACAAACCGGAGGAAGGUGGGGAUGACGUCAAGUCCUCAUGGCCCUUAUGGGUAGGGCUUCACACGUAAUACAAUGGUCGGUACAGAGGGCUGCCAACCCGCAAGGGGGAGCUAAUCCCAGAAAGCCGAUCGUAGUCCGGAUUGUAGUCUGCAACUCGACUGCAUGAAGCCGGAAUCGCUAGUAAUCGCGGAUCAGCAUGUCGCGGUGAAUACGUUCCCGGGUCUU